GGGCCUGUAGCUCAAUCGGUAGAGCAAUCAACUCAUAAUUGAUAGGUAGUAGGUUCAAAUCUUACCAGGCCCA
rnacentral:tRNA from 1 species